CCCCUCCCCCAGCCCUGGGAGCAGCCGGAGCCCUGUGGGUGCAGUCAGAUCGCAAUGGGAACCAGCCAUCACAUCUCUGACAGUCCCGCAGGCCUGCUGACAGGAAAGCUGCGGAACCAAGGGAAGCAGCUUCUGACUGGAAAAGUGAAAGGAGCCAAAAGCCAAAAGGCUCAGAUUACUUGUAGGGGCUGGUCUGGGAGGCCCUCGUCCAAGCUCUCAGCUCAGAGGAGAUGACGAAGAGACUGGAGACAAGGAAGGUAAAAUCGAACCUGUCCUGGCAGUUGCUGAUCCAGUCGCCACCGCAAGGAGGAAGUCACUGCUGCGUGUGCUUCUGAAACUUCCAGCCAAGACCCAGAAUCACAGAGUGGGGCCACCGCUUCUAGGCCGGCCAACAGGCAGCUGGGAACCAUGGGCGUCAGCAGGCUGCCCUGGAGUGGGAGGCAGGGCCCCUGAACCUCAGGGCUGCCGUCAGCACCUGGAGGACGAAAGACGUUGGUAAGAAGGACCAGGAGGCCCAUCCGCUGCUGGGUUUGCCUGGACAGCUGAGCCGAGUUGAGGACUCCCACUCACAUGGCCUGAUGGGAUCUGCAAGACCUGGGGACCUUAUUAAUUCACAAGGAGGGCCAAAAGAAGCAGGAAGAGCACUGACCAGCAUGGCCCAGGGCCCCCAACCUGUUCCUGACUGUACCUUGGGCUAUGAGCCUUCCUGCUCCUCCACAGAGUGUGCAUGGAAGGUGUGGAGAGGCCACGACACAGUCCACAUCUCAGGACAUAACCAGUGGUGUCAGGAAACAGACUAAGUGUAGCCAGCUUGAGGCCAACAUUUUAGCUCAGUUUUCACAAGGUCACCUAAUCUUUAAAUCGGAGAGGAUGGCAGGUGCUUGAGCUAUCCAGGUGUGAUCCUCGCUCCAUGGCAUGAGCUCAGAUGUGCUGCAAACCAUGGCUCUCAAAUCUCCCUUCUACACCCCUGUCCCAACACCUGACAUCUAGACCAAGAAGGUCAUUCCUUGAGUCACAGGGUUGGCAAACAGGUAUUAUUGCAAGUGCCAACUCCAAGUUAUUGACAUUAGAUUUUGUUUCAGAAAGAUUCUCAGGCCUUUUCUGGUCUCAGCGGGAUGUUUCCAAUCAAUUAGCAGUGUCUGCAAUGGACACUGGAAAAGAAGUGCCAAUGGUUUUGUACAGAAUUACUGUCCUUAAAAAACACUUUGUUUUUAUAUUUACAGAGCAACUAUAUGGCCAGUAGAGAAUGCGUGAACUUGUAAUGACUAACAACCAUAUCAGGGCCUUGAGGGCAUAGGAGGCGGAACAGGGACUUUCUUUAUUACUGUUAUUAUCAUUCUAACUUUUAUCUUACAUUGUAAUAUAGCUGAUUAACAAUGUUGUGAUAGUUUCAGGUGGACAGCAAAGGGACUCAGCCAUACAUAUACAUGUAUCCAUUCUUCCCCAAACUCCCCUCCUAUCCAGGCUGCCACAUGACAUU